UGUGAUGCUGGUAUGUAGUGUUGUGAUGCUGGUUAUGUAGUGUGUGUGUGAUGCUGGUAUGUAGUGUUGUGAUGCUGUGUGUUUGUGUUCAGCCCAAGAAAGGAGGAGGUCUGUCCUAUAACUCCAUGGUUCCUCUGACGAUGUGUUCUGAGAAGCUGGUCCAACUUAUCCUCCACGAGUACAAAAUCUUCAAUGCGGAGGUUCUGUUCCGAGAAGACAGCACUCCUGAUGACUUCAUCGACGUCAUUGUUGGGAACCGAGUUUACAUGCCCUGUUUAUACGUCUACAACAAGGUGGAUCAGAUCUCCAUAGAGGAGGUGGAUCGACUGGCUCACGAACCCCACAGCGUCGUCAUCAGGUCAGAAACUACCCUGUCUGCCUGUCUG